GGUGGCACAUUUGAGGCCAUAGCUUAAGUGCUUCCAGUGUGGCCCGUGGCAGAUUCCAAUGAAUCUGCAAAUUCUUCU
rnacentral:ribozyme from 1 species